UCCGUUCUGUUCUCUCGUUGACUUCUCCCCCGAAGACACGUUCAUCGACAGCCCUCAUCCCGGCCGCCGGCGCUGCUGUCCCAUCCGCCUCCGGCGAGCCUCUCUCUGUUCCCCUCCUAUUGCAUCUCACGACUCCCCCUCAGUUCCAUUUUUUGGCAUGCCGCAUGCAUCCGCAUCCGCGAGCAGCAGGUCUAGGGUUAGGCACGGUCAUGUGCCGCUUGCUGUGGCAGCACCAACGGUGCUUGCUGCUACGGCACCUCCGCCACUUGCUGUUGCGCCGCCGCCCCUCCUCUCAGCUGUUGCCCCGGUGCCUCCUCAUGCUGUUGAAUCAUGAAUAUAUAAGAAGUGUAUGAAGCUUAUUUCCUGGAAAAGAGAUUUAUUGGGCAAAAUCUUUCGAUGAAUGCUGUCCCUGAAUUGAUGCAAGAAUUGGAACAACUGCAGAUGGGAUUAGAUGAGGUCAAGGAGGAGAUGAUAGAACCUAAAAUAAGUAGCUGUUGUGUAGUUAUGGGAUGCAUCAAUAUAGUCCUAGUGGUGUUUGGCAUCCUUUUGUAUGUACUGAAGUAGAAAAUGAUGUGUUGUGUCAGAAGCCAUCUUAUGUUGUCUGUUGGAUUAACUAUGCAAUGAAAGGCGACCAUCUAAUGUUAUGUGUUGU